ACCUUUGCGGCCGGUUGUGGUAAUGCAGUAUUUUUCUUUGCUGUUUAAAAGGGAAUCCGGUUGGAAUCCGGAACAGUGCCCGCUACUGUGAACCCUGUGUGUAGAAAAGCGUCUUACACCACUGUCCGGAUGUAAGGAUGGGAAGGUUGCUUUUCUGGGGUAAGUCAGGAGACCUGCCAUGAUUGUAUAGGUAAU
rnacentral:ncRNA from 2 species